GCUCUGUGAUGAACCCAUGCGUGUCAUCUGAGCCCGGCUUGGCUCCCGCCUUAGCCCGGGGAGUGUUCUACUUCCCAGGUCUGUUGCCUGGCCCGGCGUGGGGAGGGGGUCGGGCAGAGGAUCAGCCUUUGUAUUCUGAGAGC